GAGCAGUUGGAGAUCCAUAACUUGGUGGCGGAGGUGGAGGGAGAGGGACUGAAUGUGCUUUACUAAAAGGAGGAGGAGGAGGUGGUGGUGGUGGAGGUGGAGGAGCAGCAGAAAAACCGUUAAUAAGAGACGUCUUGGGUGAUGGCGAAGGUGCAAUACUCAUAUAAGGCAACGGGGGAGGAGUAGGAAUGUGACCUCCUGGUGGCGGAGGUCCAUUAGAUCCAAAUGGAGGUGGCGGUGGUGGUGGAGGUCUACUGGAUCCAAAUGGAGGUGGUGGUGGUGGAGGAGGAGUUUUACCAAAUGGAGGUGGUGGUGGUGGUGGCGGAGGUGAGGAGGAGGUGGUGGUGGUGGAGGUGGAGGAGCAGCAGAAAAACCGUUAAUAAGAGACGUCUUGGGUGAUGGCGAAGGUGCAAUACUCAUAUAAGGCAACGGGGGAGGAGUAGGAAUGUGACCUCCACUGGAUUUGGUUGUAUUUGAUGAACUAAAAGGAGGAGGUGGUGGUGGUGGCGGUGGAGGUGGUGGAGAAUUGUAAGACGUAGAGCCUUCCUCAUGAGUUUCAAGAAUUGAAGCAUACCCAGGCUUCCACGGUGGUGGAGGCGGUGGUGGAGGAGGUUGAGAAGUAGAACAUGCCGUAGAAGUUGCCAAAGUCGAAGUAUACACAGACUUCCAAGGAAGAGACGGUUGCAACACGGUUCGAUUGUUUGGUUUCUCAGAUGCAAAAGGAGGAGGAGGUGGUGGUGCAGAAGGAGGAGGAGGUGGUGGUGGUGGCAACGUGGUUCCACUGUUUAGUCUCUCAGAUGGAAAUGGAGGUGGUUCCGGUAUAUGAGAUGUUUGAGAGUAGCUGUCAUUUUGUCUAUGUGAAGAAUAACUAGGCAGUGGUGGUGGUGGAGGUGGCGGUGGAGG
rnacentral:lncRNA from 1 species